GAAGAUUGAUGGAGCAAUUUAAUUUAACGUCAUUUCCUUAAUAACCACUGACAAAAAAAUAUUUCUGUAAUGAAGUCUCUAAUGAAAAGUCCAGCCUACUAAUUUUAAUAUGUGCUUUUAGGAUAAUUAUUUCUACGCAUGUGAGAUUGUAUAAUAAUACAUAUUUGUGGCAUCCAUUUAUAUUGAUUGAAAAUAGCAGUAAUUUUAUUUGCAAGUAUUUUAUUUAUUAUACACGUAUACGACGUUCCCAGUUAAUUGCAGCAUGAUGAAGUGCAUGUGUGUGUUGCAGCAUUUAUAAACGGCGCCAUGAUAUACGAUUCUUGUACAUGAUAGACCUGUACGCGUAGACGAUUUAUGUUCUGCAGCGUCUAUUGUCUGAGAGUAUUUCUCGAUGGACGCUCUCGACUGUUUACAGUAUGAGUUCGCGCUGUUAGUCAUAACUUAUUCUUCGUCAUACGAUCGUCGCAAACGACAUGUGAAAUGGCCUUAUCGUCUUACACACUUUCGUGAUUCACGGAUAUCAGAAUACGGUACGAUUUUUCCGGUCUGCUAAGGGCGACCCAUCAUCUGCUUCGUUCGUUGCCCCUCGUUGCCCUCUAUCAACCGUCUUAAGAAAUUCGAAAGUUCACGGAGCGUGUAAUUUGCCAGAGAUCAAGGAUUAGCACGGAACUUUGCGGGAUGACUGAGCUACUUUUACCAGCUGCAGGCGGUUUUCUAUCGCAAGACGCGCAAGAUAUAACACGAAAAUGACGCUCAUAACGCACACCUGGCUGACCAUAUACGAUUCUGUUUUGCCCUUUGUUUCUUAAAAAAAUUAGUGAACAAAACAGAUAGAACAGAUUCGUGAUCGUAUGAAUGUCACUGCGAAACGACCGAAGACGCAU